UCUUAAAGUAUUUAGGAGGAGGCACUGACUCAGCCCAGGGGCAAUCCACCUCCUCAGGAGCAGCCAAGGCUGAUGAAUCAGGUCCAUCUCUAUCCUCUGCUCCAUCCACUGUGCCCACUGUCCUCUCUGCAACCUCAGCUGUACCUGGUCCUUCAUCUUUGGUCAUGGAGAUUGAUGUGUCUUCUUCAGCAUCCAGUUUGGAGCAGGGAUCAGCAGCUCCGCCAGUUGACCCAGCUGAGUGUCCCUCUUUCCUGUCAGACUCA